AGUGGGUUGAAGAACGCGUCUGCAACACAGAGAUCUCUCUUAUGUAAAUGCUCUUCCUUUGGGUCUUAGGCCCCUAACAUUCUCCCUUUGUCCCAGGGGCUAGACCCCAGGCCAGAGGCUCUCCAUCCCUCCCUCCACCCUCACUUCCCGGCCAGCAGUCCCAGCUCUUUGACUAUCCUUACCGCUGUUGCCUGAGAAGCGGGGCAGGAAGCCAGUGAGGCACCCAGCCACCCUGGAAUGUGUCUCUUUGCUGUUUCCACAGCCUGGCCCAGUCCUCUUCGGGCUGUGGUUGGAAGGCUUUGCUCUUUAAAAAGAUGUCUUUCUUUUAGAGAGUGAAAAAGAGUUUAUCAUUAAUGUGAAGAGACCCUGUAGGACAGAUGUGUUCGGGGUCCGCAUGGAAAAUAGUUGAGUAAUAAUAGUAGAAUGAUUUUGGAGAUAGGCAGAGAUAAUUUGCCCCCAGGGAAGACUUUUCUGGAAUGCCUAGGAGAUGGGCUGGUUGGUGUCCCCCAACCUUCGAGAGUCCCCGUAUUCUUCUCAGGCUCUGCAGGAUGCUUAGGUCCAGUGAGAACCUGGCAGAGAUGGGGCACUCAGUGGUGCUUGAUGGAUGGAUGAGUCAUUGCAGGGGCCUUUUACAGGCAGCAGUUCUGGUUCAGAUUUGAGUGGGGGCGUGGGUAGCGGUGAGGGACAGGGCUAUUUUAGGGGAUGCAGAGACCCUAGUCAUCCCAGAGACGGGCCUGUUUAUAGUUUGUACCUGCCAUGGAAUGACCCUGAGUGGUGAGGAGUUUCUUACCUACACAAAAGGAGCUGGGCCUGGCCAGGUGCAGCCAGUGACCUGGAAAGGUGUCCUGUGGGGUGUGGAUGUAUUAAGUGGCCACAGGAGUGCUGAAGAGCAGCCGGUCCCAGGCAUUGGGACUCUGGGCUUCCAUCCUAGCUCUGAGCCGGCUGCCCUCUCUGAGCCUCGAUGUGCUCACCUGCAGAACAGAGAUGCUACUGUCUGUCUCACCUCCCUGCUUCCUCCCUGGCUGCCCUAUGGGUGACAGGAGCAGUUGAUGUGACACUCAAAGUGGACCAGUGCCAGGGGACUUGGGGUCUGUAGGGGACUCCCUUUAUGAGUAAAACAAAUCCUCUAGGUCCCAGGGCAUUUGGUUCUUCCUUUGUUCUGGCAUUUGUCGUGUGGCCUGGUUCCUUACUUUCUGGCCUGUCUGCCCCACCCCUGCCCACCCCCACUGCACUGGUCUGGGAGCUCCUUCAGGGCAGGGGCGGCUGCUUGUGCACUGUCACCUCUCCCACAUCCACCAUGAGACUCAGACACAGAGCUGACCCUUCAUGUUGGCCGAGUGGGGACUGCAGAGGGCAAUGAGACACCACCCCAGGGAGCGAGGCAGGCAGGUCCUGCUGCCACCACCAGAGGUACUCGCAGUCCACAGAGAGUGCAGGGGUGGGUAUCCAUGGGCUCUGCACAGAUACGGCUCAGGGGUUCAGUGAUUUGCUCAAAGCAACUCAGUUUCACCCCAGGGAACCUGGUGUGAUAAGCAAAGCCAGGUGCGUGAUGGUGAUAUGCUGCACUGAACCCUGGCCCUCCUAAACUCCCGUUAUUAUUAUUAUUAUUUUCAUGGUAACUCUUUGAUACCUGGAGAUGGCUGCUUGGUCCCACGAGCUUUACGGCCUCUCAGCCCUAAGACCUGCAAUCAAAUUCCCAAAUCCUUCAACAUCCUGGGCCCCCCUUGGCCUGUCAACACCCUUCUUGACAACCCACAGGCAGGGAGGAGCCCAGGAGGUACCUGGAGCCCCAGUGGGGGCAGGGCCUUCCUCUCGAUCACCUCUUUCUGUAAGGCUGUGCCCAAGCAGCGCUUUGCAAACUGCUCUAAAACUCUGCUUAGAUCAUGGUUCUCAAUGGUGGUGAGUGUUUCUCUUUCAGAUUCACCUACUCUGCUACAGGCUCAGGACUUAGGGUCAUCAGCAUCUCAUUCCCUGGCACAAAAAUUCCAAGAGACAGCAAAAUGGACAACUCUUCAGUGGACAGUACAAUGAACAUUUGCAUAAGUAUGCACCCAUGGGACCACCCAAAUAAAACUAGAGGAUACCACUGCCAA